rnacentral:rRNA from 1 species
UACGUAGGAGGCAAGCGUUAUCCGGAUUUACUGGGCGUAAAGAGGGCGUAGGCGGCUUGUCAAGUCGGAUGUGAAAUCUCCCGGCUUAACUGGGAGGGUGCAUUCGAUACUGAUGGGCUAGAGUGCAGCAGAGGGAAGUGGAAUUCCCGGUGUAGUGGUGAAAUGCGUAGAUAUCGGGAAGAACAUUAGUGGCGAAGGCGGCUUCCUGGGCUGUUACUGACGCUGAGGCCCGAAGGCGUGGGGAGCGAACAGGAUUAGAUACCCGAGUA